rnacentral:miRNA from 1 species
UGGAAGGAUGCCUCUUGCAGA